UGAUCCUGAGGAAGAAUUUUUUCCACACAACGUAAAACCUCCUCGUUCGUGCAGCAAAGGACUUCUCCUCAAAUUUAAGUUUCAUGAGUUUUUGAACUUUGGGUCAUUGUUCUCUUUGUUUGUCUGUAAAAGUUAGGGUUUUGAUGUUACUAUAACCAAGGUAUGGCUUUGAUUGUUUCGGCCUCUUUCUCCUCAAAUUAAUCGCGCAUCUGGUGAAGUGCAACACUCCCCUCAUUCAAAAUUUGGGUCUUUGAUCUAUUGAAGUUUGGGUCAUUCUUCUCUUCGUUUCUCUGUACAAGUUUGGGUUUUGAAAGAAGAUACCAAGUCUGAGACUCGAAAGAAGUCAAAAGUCAGAUUGGAAAACCCUUAGCAAAGCAAGCAUAGCGCUGGAAGCACUACUUGAAAUCAUUGUUUAGUUACAAAUGGAUGAACGAACCCUGGAUCUGAUCUGAUCUAAUGGUGCUCUGCUCUUUAGGUUCGAGCUAAGGUCAGAACUGCUCUGGAUACUGUGAAGCAACUUAUAGCAGAACAAGCUCUGGAUUCUUUGCCUUCAGAUAAGCAAUGAAGACUCAUGCUUUCUCUAACUAUCUACAUAACAAUACAUGUUAAACAAUGGAGAUGACUUUUUUAUUGAAGCAUUUUGUCAAGAUGGAAGGAUUUACUUCACCAUUUCAUUUAGCUAGACAUUUUAGAUACUUUGAUAUCUCUAGCUAUUCCUUUGUUUUCUUUACUUGUUUUGAAUGUUAAGGUUCUGGACAAAUUGUGUGACUUAUGUUGUAGACAUGAUCUUAUUGCCAACUUGUUGGAUACUGAAAACAAUUGAUACGUUGAAUGUUUUUAUGUUUUAAUUUGAAUGUUCCUAUUUAGAUGUAAGAUGUUACUCAGAAUUGCCAUCUAUUUGAAUGAACUCAAAAGGAUAUUAAUAUGAUAAAAGUAGAUAGGACGUUAAUAUGUAUUACUUUUACUAUUGGUAAAAUAGAUUGUGAUUGACUUAAAAAGCUACAGGAGUAUGAACAUAACAAGGGAGAAAAGCUAUUGAUCUGUACCGUAACAACGCAAAAUAGUUGUAAGAGGCUGAAAAUAACAUGUCUAAAACACUAUAAGACCU